rnacentral:rRNA from 1 species
AACGAACGCUGGCGGCAUGCCUAACACAUGCAAGUCGAACGAGACCUUCGGGUCUAGUGGCGCACGGGUGCGUAACGCGUGGGAAUCUGCCCUUGGGUUCGGAAUAACAGUUAGAAAUGACUGCUAAUACCGGAUAAUGUCUUCGGACCAAAGAUUUAUCGCCCAGGGAUGAGCCCGCGUAGGAUUAGCUAGUUGGUGAGGUAAAGGCUCACCAAGGCGACGAUCCUUAGCUGGUCUGAGAGGAUGAUCAGCCACACUGGGACUGAGACACGGCCCAGACUCCUACGGAGGCAGCAUGGGGAAUAUUGGACAAUGGCGAAGACCUGAUCCAGCAAUGCCGCGUGAGUGAU